rnacentral:rRNA from 1 species
ACGAACGCUGGCGGCGUGGAUAAGACAUGCAAGUCGAACGAGAAACUUUUGGAGCUUGCUUUGAAAGUUUCUAGUGGCGAACGGGUGAGUAACACGUGAGCAACCUGCCCAAAAGAGGGGGAUAGCCCGAGGAAACUCGGAUUAAUACCGCGUGUCAUCUCUCAGGACAUCCUGGGAAGAUGAAAGGUGGCCUUUGUGCUGCCGCUUUUGGAUGGGCUCGCGGCCUAUCAGCUUGUUGGUGAGGUAACGGCUCACCAAGGCUUCGACGGGUAGCUGGUCUGAGAGGACGAUCAGUCACACUGGAACUGAGACACGGUCCAGACACCUACGGGUGGCAGCAGUCGAGAAUCAUUCGCAAUGGGCGAAAGCCUGACGGUGCGACGCCGCGUGGAGGAUGACGGCCCAGGGUUUGUAAACUCCUGUCAUCAGAGAGUAAUGCUUCAGUCAGUAACUGGGCUGAAGAGUGAUAGUAU